CAAGUUGCAACCCUGGCAUAUGCCCUGACCAGGAAUCGAACUGGCAACCUUUUGGUGCACAGACAACACUCAACCAACCGAGCCACACCGCCAGGGCCAGAAGGACUUGGAAAGGCUGGAACAGCGAAGGUGCAAGGGCUGGACAAGAGGGUCCGGAGCAACAGCACGGGCCCACGGACUCCCUCAAGAGGGUGACGCGCCCGCCGCCCCUCCAGAAAGGAGGCAAGUGGAGGUGGAACCAUAGGACCCCCAGACUAGGAUGGACCAAAACUACAAGUAACAGUGUUGCAUCUGCAAUCCACCCACCAAGAGCUUAGCGUUUCCCGGGCGAGCCUGCCAACGACAGAGCCCAACAGAGAGAGAGAGACCUGGGAAGAGGAAGAAGGAAGGAGAAUGGUCCCCCACUCUAUUUCCCCACCCACUUUUCAGUCCGAAUUCAAAUUCCGCCCUUUUCAUGUUCCAACUUGACUUUUUAUUUAAAAAGUAGCAAUUUAUCUUGCGGUAGGAACUUAAAACUUAAUUAGAAAUUUCCACAUUGACAUGUACGUGAACUACGCCCUCUGCUACAUACAGUUGGAGGUGGGAGGCACAAAAUAACGCCGUUGAGCCAAUCGCUGGAAAUAGUCAAAGGCAGAAGGAGUCUUUGUAUGAACAUCCACUUCCAAUACAUUCUCGGUGUGAAAAAUUAGAAUGAUAUAAAAUAGAAUAAAUUAAAUUCCUCUUUACAUCA